CCGAAUGUUUCAGAAAGGCAUUUGACAUCAUCUAGAAACAAUUGCUCCACAGUCCACACUAGUUGCAAUUAAACCUCUCCUAAAGCGAUUGUAGCAACUAGAGAUUCAUGACAGGUUAUAGUUGAGCAACCAUACAUUCAAUCAAAGAUAAAUAAAUGUGAAAUAACUGCAGAUAACCAAGUAUACUGUCUUCUAGUCUAGUACUAAAUAAUCGUGUUUCAAUAUCAACUUAAACAUAAGAUGGGGCAAUGUAUAUAUGCCCGAACGAAAAACUGCAGAAUACGUGCUGGGCUAAGCUUCCAACAUCUAUUUCACAUGACAAAUGUUUACUUUCACGGGAUAUCUUGCAAUGCUAGAAUAAUAAAGAGCUUCUCAAACGGCCGAUAAUAAAUAAUGAAGAAAUUGGUUCUAAGAAAAUAAUAACUUCCAAGUACCCACCCCGAAUGUUUCAGAAAGGCAUUUGACAUCAUCUAGAAACAAUUGCUCCACAGUCCACACUAGUUGCAAUUAAACCUCUCCUAAAGCGAUUGUAGCAACUAGAGAUUCAUGACAGGUUAUAGUUGAGCAACCAUACAUUCAAUCAAAGAUAAAUAAAUGUGAAAUAACUGCAGAUAACCAAGUAUACUGUCUUCUAGUCUAGUACUAAAUAAUCGUGUUUCAAUAUCAACUUAAACAUAAGAUGGGGCAAUGUAUAUAUGCCCGAACGAAAAACUGCAGAACGAUACUAGAAUCCACCGUACAAUGAAAGACACAUUAUUCAAGCAGAAUAGUAGGCGAUCUAAAUCUAUCAUUUAG
rnacentral:lncRNA from 1 species